CACUCCUGUUUCUGCCCCAUUUUCUUUUCACUUUCCAUGGAUUACUGGGUUCUAAUUAUGGAGAAGAUCAAGCUGAUCAAUGAAUCACCUUAAUGAUUUGAUACUUCGUUAUAACCGAUUUAUUGAUUGGAUCGUGUGAAUGAUUUUUACGUUUCUAAGAGGGAAAACAUGCUUAGUGAUGUUCUUCCUCGUUAGUUAAGAAUCUCACUAUAUUU
rnacentral:snoRNA from 1 species